ensembl:lncRNA
GGUGCUUCGGGUGCUGUCUGUUUCAAAAGUGGGAUCUUCUUUUCCGGAGGGAGGGGGCAACGGCCGAAGAAAAUAAAGGGCGCUCCGAAAGCUAGCUUGGGUCCUGCAAAUUAUUCGGAAGGCAAAGUACCUGCACUCUCCCCGCCGAGGCUGCCUGUCAGCGGCGCGCGAGGGGAGGAGGCUGAGGAGGAGGAGGAGCGGCGGGAGGGCUCGGGCUGGGAGGGGAGCGCGCGCGGGCUGGCUGGGGGGAGGAGGCCGCUGGGCGGGCGGCCGAGCAGCCGCCGAGACCGCGAGGAGGCGAGCGGCCGUCAGGGCGAGGCGCUGCCCCACGCGCUCGGGCCGCCGGCUGCGGGCGCGGGCGCGGGCGCGGCGGGGCGGGGAGCAGAGGCGGCGAGCAUCUCCCGGCCGCUCCCGCACUCGCUCGCUGGCUCGCGCUCCCCCUUCCUCGCGCUCGCACACACAGGCACACACCCCACGUCUCCAGCAGCAGCCGCUCGGCCGCACGCACUCACCUGCAUUUCCUUAACGAGCCACUUGAUGGCUGCCAGCGGCGCUGGCCCGGCUCCGGCUCCGGCGGGCGGGAGCCGGGGCGGGGAGGACGUGGCGCGGGAUGUUCCGAGCGCCGGCCCGGGUGGCGGCGGCGGCGGCGGCGGCGGUGCGGGCGGGCGAGCCGGGGCGGGAGGAGGGGAAACCGGGCGGCGACCCCGAGCUGCCCGGGCGCGACCCGGAGGCCGUGGCAUGACCCCGGGGCUCCGGGAUCUAGCGGUCCGCGCGGGGAGAGGAGGCUCUACCGGACCACUAGAGCCACAGAGGACUUGUCCAGGUGUAGAUCCCGGUUGCGCGUCUUCAGGAUUUCCUGGGACAUUGCAACUGCCGGACAAAAAUUUGGUUGGCAAAUAAUGAUUGCCUCUUAUGGGAACAUCAGGCAAAACAUCAACUUGACUAAAUAGUUUUUUUUCCUGUAGAUUGUACAUUGACCAAAAGAGCAGGUAAUCAUGCAGCACUCAGUCCAUCUUCUAAGAGAAUUAGAGUGGUGUUACUCUCAACACUUUAUCCUCCCUUACCCCAUUGUUCAUGCCUAACUAUACAGAGAGACUCUAGUUUCUAACAUAAAGCAUAGCUAAGGAUACAUGUAUUACACGACUAAAAAUUAAUCAGUUCAAAGUAAGUGUCAUGGUGAAGGGUAAAUGUAACAGUCUAUUACUGGAGAGGUUAGGAGACAUAAAGAACAUUUGUUCUUACUGUAUUGGACAAACAUAGUAACUAGCAGAGCCAAAAACAAACAAACAAACAAACAAACAAACAAACAAACAAACAACAACAACUAGGCAGUCACUACUAAUCACUCUAUGAGAGUGGUUCAUAUCCUGGGUCUAUGAGUAGUUCAUAUCCUAGGUUAUAUGAUGAUUUCAAGGAUUCUGAAGAAUGCCUUGAAAUUAUAUGUAAGUUUGCAUAUUUGCACAUUUCUGUGUAACACAGGACUGUUUGAAAGGAAGAGAAAUACAAUUCAAAAUUGUUUAUGAAAGGGGUAGAUGUAUUGACUCAUUAGCAAAGCACAUGCUGGGACAUAGGAGAAAUUUCCAUUGAAAUUCCCAUUGAAACAAUUAGGGAACUUGGAUGUCAUUAAAAUAUCUGUCCCUGUUUCUCCCCUUCUCUGCCCACCCCCAGCCUUUUUCUUUCACAGGUUUCAUUAUAUCCCACACAUGCCAGGGCAAGUUGUGAGACAUUGAGAUAUGGCCAGAUUCAGGACUGAUUCACACACUAAAAGCCUAGCAACUAGAAAGAUUCCUCCACAAUUUCCAGUUACAAAAUGCUGGGCAAGUGCUCUUGUUGGUAAAGUUUGGGUAAAAAAAUGAACCAUCUUUCAAUUGCUCUAUCCCAUCCAGAUGAUUAUUGUUGUCUCGGUUCAAAUCACGUACUCAAGCAAUUGAUCAUGGUGGCAGGAGCUAUAAUUGGCUUAGUACAUUUGAAGCAAAUGGCUUGAAGUACUUUCCAUGAUAGGGAAGGGCUGUUAGGAUUCUACAGUAAUCUUUUAAAAUUUUGUAAUUGGUCAGCCAGACACAAGCAGAGACACACAAAAACAUAUAGGAAAGAUGGUAAAGCCAUUGGUAAGAAUUUUGGUCACAGAAUCUGUGUUCAUCUUUUAACUUACAACUACAUCACUAAUUCCUUAUUAGACUUUCAGUUUCCAUUCUAACAGUGACCUAGAGAUACAGGAUUCUAAAAUUUUUAAACCUUGGAGCAAGAAAAUACAAAUCAGAACCAAACAUACAAAUUCCCUUCCGAAAGAUGAAUAAACAUGUGUAAGUGAUACUUGGACUACA